AGAAUCAACGCUGGCGGCGUGCCUCAGACAUGCAAGUCGAACGAUUAAAGCUCUCUUCGGAGAGUGUAUAGAGUGGCGCACGGGUGAGUAACACGUAAGUAAUCUACCUUUGAGUGGGGAAUAACAAUCGGAAACGAUUGCUAAUACCGCAUAAUGCAGCGGCACCGCAAGGUGACAGUUGUUAAAGGAGCAAUCCGCUUAAAGAGGAGCUUGCGGCGAGUAUACGAGUUAGGUUAGGUAAAGUAGUCGGUACCUUAA
rnacentral:rRNA from 1 species